rnacentral:rRNA from 1 species
CAGUAGCCGCGGGAAUACGAGGGGGGCAAGCGUUGUUCGGAAUUAUUGGGCGUAAAGGGCUCGCAGGCGGUUUCUUAAGUCUGAUGUGAAAGCCCCCGGCUCAACCGGGGAGGGUCAUUGGAAACUGGGAAACUUGAGUGCAGAAGAGGAGAGUGGAAUUCCACGUGUAGCGGUGAAAUGCGUAGAGAUGUGGAGGAACACCAGUGGCGAAGGCGACUCUCUGGUCUGUAACUGACGCUGAGGAGCGAAAGCGUAGGGAGCGAACAGGAUUAGAUACCCCUGUAGUCCCUGUCUCUUAUAC